UCUGCUCAAUGUUAUUUUAAUAAAUAGCUGCAUUCUUGUACUAAGGUAGCAUAAUAAUUUGCCUUUUAAUUGAAGGAUAGUAUGAAUGAAAAUUCAAGAAAAUAGCUGUCUCUAUAUAAUAAAUAUAAAUUAAUCUAUAAGUGAAAAAGCUUAUAUAAAAUAAAAAGACAAGAAGACCCUGUUGAGCUUUUUCUAAAAAUUAAUUAUUAGAUUUUGUUGGGGCAACAUAAAUUAUUAAAAUCAAUUUAUUUUAAAAAGAAUAAAUUCAAAUAUAUAAUCUUAUUUUAUAAAAUAAUACAAAGUUACCACAGGGAUAACAGGCUAAUUUUUUUUAAGAGUUCAAAUUAAUAAAAAAGUUUGGCACCUCGAUGUUGGCUUAAGAUUCCUUUUAAAUGCAGUAAUUUAAAAUGUUGGUUU
rnacentral:rRNA from 1 species